GCCCGGCUAGCUCAGUUGGUAGAGCAUGAGACUCUUAAUCUCAGGGUUGUGGGUUCGAGCCCCAUGUUGGGCG